rnacentral:rRNA from 1 species
AAUAGAUACCCUGGUAGUCCACGCCGUAAACGAUGAGUGCUAAGUGUUAGAGGGUUUCCGCCCUUUAGUGCUGCAGCUAACGCAUUAAGCACUCCGCCUGGGGAGUACGGUCGCAAGACUGAAACUCAAAGGAAUUGACGGGGGCCCGCACAAGCGGUGGAGCAUGUGGUUUAAUUCGAAGCAACGCGAAGAACCUUACCAGGUCUUGACAUCCUCUGACAACUCUAGAGAUAGAGCGUUCCCCUUCGGGGGACAGAGUGACAGGUGGUGCAUGGUUGUCGUCAGCUCGUGUCGUGAGAUGUUGGGUUAAGUCCCGCAACGAGCGCAACCCUUGAUCUUAGUUGCCAGCAUUUAGUUGGGCACUCUAAGGUGACUGCCGGUGACAAACCGGAGGAAGGUGGGGAUGACGUCAAAUCAUCAUGCCCCUUAUGACCUGGGCUACACACGUGCUACAAUGGAUGGUACAAAGGGCUGCAAGACCGCGAGGUCAAGCCAAUCCCAUAAAAACCCAUUCUCAGUUCGGAUUGC